UACGUAGGGGGCGAGCGUUGUCCGGAUUUAUUGGGCGUAAAGAGCGUGUAGGCGGCCUGACAGGUCUGCUGUGAAAACUCGAGGCUCAACCUCGAGAUGUCGGCGGAAACCAUCUGGCUAGAGUCCGGAAGAGGAGAGUGGAAUUCCUGGUGUAGCGGUGAAAUGCGCAGAUAUCAGGAAGAACACCAAUAGCGAAGGCAGCUCGCUGGGACGGUACUGACGCUAAGGCGCGAAAGCGUGGGGAGCGAACAGG
rnacentral:rRNA from 1 species